UAUGAGAGAACUGUCUAAAUUUUCCCUAAAAUUAUUGUUUUUUUCUAGACCCACACAAUGCAUUAUAAGGAUAUAUAUUUUCCUUCCAGCAUCUGUUUAUUUCCCCCUUUGCAGUUUCCUAUUUUUCAGCUUACUUUUGCUGUACGAUGGGAAGCCGGUUCCCAGCCCUGUCCCCGGGUCUCCGAGGGUGGAAGAGAGCUGAUCCCUGGUUCCCUGUUCUGAAGAGAGACCUGGCAAAGGGAUCAGAGCCGUUAAACACCAGGGUCUCUAGAGCAAGCUGUUUCUUUAAAAACAAACAAACCAACCACCUGAAAGACUGGAACUGGAGUUUUCAGAGAGAAGCUGUUCUAAACCGAGAAAACCACGACCAUCAGUGGAGGAACCCUACUGCUCUUUGGGAUGUGUGGGACUCAGCCGACAGAGGUGGGAGAACUUCUUCAUUUUCCUCUGACAAAACAACUGAGUCAGUGAAUGAGGCAGGUGAAGUGUUGGAGAGGCACCAUCUUCACCCUAGAGCACCGAGAGAGGCAUUUGGUAUGUGGAGGAAGAGAACCGAAGGGCAAGAGAGGCUUUGCUUUCUGGGACUCUGGGUCUCCACGAUUUAUUCCAAAAAGCACCAUGUGACUUUCCCCGGAUGA
rnacentral:lncRNA from 1 species